GGCGGAUGUAGCCAAGUGGAUUAAGGCAGG
rnacentral:tRNA from 5 species